GGGCUGCAGUAUUUUGACUGUACAAAGGUAGCAUAAUCAAUAGUCUCUUAAUUGGUGACUUGUAUGAAAGAUUGGAUGAGAUAUAAACUGUCUCUAAUUGAUUUAUAAAAAUUAAUUUUUUAGUAAAAAAGCUAAAAUAAUUUUAAAAGACGAGAAGACCCUAUAGAGUUUAAUAUUUUAUUUAGUAAUUAUUAAUAUAUAUAAUUUUAAAAAUUAAAAUUAAAUGAAAUAUUUUGUUGGGGUGAUAAAAAAAUUAAAUUAACUUUUUUUGAUUGUAAACAUUAAUUUAUGGUUAAAUGAUCCAUUUAUAGUGAUUAAAAGAAAAAAUUACCUUAGGGAUAACAGCGUAAUUUUUUUUUUUAGUUCAAAUAGGAAAAAAAGUUUG
rnacentral:rRNA from 1 species